rnacentral:misc_RNA from 1 species
GAUGAAGAACGCAGCGAAAUGCGAUAAGUAGUAUGAAUUGCAGAAUUCAGUGAAUCAUCGAAUCUUUGAACGCACAUUGCGCCCGCCAGUAUUCUGGCGGGCAUGCCUGUUCGAGCGUCAUUUCAACCCUCAAGCCCUCGGGUUUGGUGUUGGGGAUCGGCGAGCCUUUCUGGCAAGCCGGCCCCGAAAUCUAGUGGCGGUCUCGCUGCAGCCUCCAUUGCGUAGUAGUAAAACCCUCGCAACUGGAACGCGGCGCGGCCAAGCCGUUAAACCCCCAACUUCUGAAUGUUGACCUCGGAUCAGGUAGGAAUACCCGCUGAACUUAAGCAUAUCAAUAAGCGGAGGA